rfam:Subdoligranulum sp. 60_17 Ley3_66761_scaffold_782, whole genome shotgun sequence.
GAGCAACUUAGGAUUUUAGGCUCCGCUGCCGGCUGCUGGUCGGCAGCGCAAACCCCGCAAGGCUGGCGGUCUUGCGAGUGGUCAAAAUCUAUCCGCCGGAG